GAGUUUGAUCCUGGCUCAGAACAAACGCUGGCGGCAUGCUUAACACAUGCAAGUCGAACGAAAAAUAUUUGUGAGCUUGCUUACGAAUAUUUUUAGUGGCAGACGGGUGAGUAACACGUGGGAAUCUACCCAUUAGUACGGAAUAACUUCUGGAAACGGAAGCUAAUACCGUAUAUUCUCUACGGAGGAAAGAUUUAUCGCUAAUGGAUGAGUCCGCGCUAGAUUAGGUAGUUGGUAGAGUAAAAGCCUACCAAGCCUACGAUCUAUAGCUGAUUUGAGAGGAUGAUCAGCCACACUGGAACUGAGAUACGGUCCAGACUCCUACGGGAGGCAGCAGUGAGGAAUAUUGGACAAUGGGCGAAAGCCUGAUCCAGCAAUGCCGCAUGAGUGAAGAAGGCCCUAGGGUUGUAAAGCUCUUUCAGUGGGGAAGAUAAUGACGGUACCCACAGAAGAAGUCCCGGCUAACUCCGUGCCAGCAGCCGCGGUAAUACGGAGGGGGCUAGCGUUGUUCGGAAUUACUGGGCGUAAAGGGCGCGUAGGUGGUCUGAUAAGUUGGGAGUGAAAGCCCGAAGCUUAACUUCGGAACUGCUUCCAAAACUGUUAGACUAGAGUGUGAUAGGGGAUAAUGGAAUUCCUAGUGUAGAGGUGAAAUUCUUAGAUAUUAGGAGGAACACCGAAGGCGAAAGCAGUUAUCUGGAGCAACACUGACACUGAGGCGCGAAAGCGUGGGGAGCAAACAGGAUUAGAUACCCUGGUAGUCCACGCCCUAAACGAUGAGUGCUAGGUAUUGGGAAUUUAUUCUCAGUUCCGUAGCUAACGUAUUAAGCACUCCGCCUGGGGAGUACGGUCGCAAGAUUAAAACUCAAAGGAAUUGACGGGGACCCGCACAAGCGGUGGAGCAUGCGGUUUAAUUCGAUACUACGCGAAGAACCUUACCAACUUUUGACAUGUUAAUCGUCGGUAUAGAGAUAUACUUUCAGUUCGGCUGGAUUAACACAGGUGUUGCAUGGCCGUCGUCAGCUCGUGUCGUGAGAUGUUGGGUUAAGUCCCGCAACGAGCGCAACCCCUAUUCUUAUUUGCCAGCGAAUAAUGUCGGGGACUAUAAGAAAACUGCCAGCGAUAAGUUGGAGGAAGGUGGGGAUGAGGUCAGGUCAUCAUGGCCCUUAUAAGUUGGGCUACACGCGUGCUACAAUGGCACCUAUAGAGAGAGGCAAUACGGCGACGUGGAGCAAAUCUUCAAAAGGUGUCUCAGUGCGGAUUGCACUCUGCAACUCGAGUGCAUGAAGUUGAAAUCGCUAGUAAUCGCGGAUCAGAAUGCCGCGGUGAAUACGUUCCCGGGUCUUGUACACACUGCCCGUCAAGCCACGGAAGUUGGUGUUACCUUAAGGCAGUGAGCUAACGUAAGAGGCAGCUGUUCACGGUAAAAUCGGUAACUGGGGUUAAGUCGUAACAAGGUAACC
rnacentral:rRNA from 1 species